rnacentral:rRNA from 1 species
GACGAACGCUGGCGGCGUGCUUAACACCUGCAAGUCGAACGAAGUGGCGAACGGGUGAGUAAUACGUGGGUAACCUGCCCUCCUUUUUGGGAUAAGCCUUGGAAACGGGGACUAAUACCGAAUAAUGGGGGAUGGGCACGCGGCUUAUCAGCUUGUUGGUGGGGUGUGGGCCUACCAAGGCGGUGACGGGUAGCCGGCCUGAGAGGGUGGCGGACCACAUUGGGACUGGGAAACGGCCCAGUAUCCUACGGGAGGCAGCGGUGGAGGAUAUUGCACAAUGGGCGAAAGCCAGAUGCAGCGACGCCGCGUGGGGGAUGAAGGCUUUCGGGUUGUAAACCUCUGUCGAUAACGAACGGGUAGGUGGAGAUGAAGCGCCGGCCAACUACGUGCCAGCAGCCGCGGUAAUUC